rnacentral:rRNA from 1 species
AUUGAACGCUGGCGGCAGGCCUAACACAUGCCAGUCGAACGGUAACAGGAAACAGCUUGCUGUUUCGCUGACGAGUGGCGGACGGGUGAGUCAUGUCUGGGAAACUGCCUGAUGGAGGGGGAUAACUACUGGAAACGGUAGCUAAUACCGCAUAACGUCGCAAGACCAAAGAGGGGGACCUUCGGGCCUCUUGCCAUCGGAUGUGCCCAGAUGGGAUUAGCUAGUAGGUGGGGUAACGGCUCACCUAGGCGACGAUCCCUAGCUGGUCUGAGAGGAUGACCAGCCACACUGGAACUGAGACACGGUCCAGACUCCUACGGGAGGCAGCAGUGGGGAAUAUUGCACAAUGGGCGCAAGCCUGAUGCAGCCAUGCCGCGUGUAUGAAGAAGGCCUUCGGGUUGUAAAGUACUUUCAGCGGGGAGGAAGGGAGUAAAGUUAAUACCUUUGCUCAUUGACGUUACCCGCAGAAGAAGCACCGGCUAACUCCGUG